rnacentral:rRNA from 1 species
CCUACGGGAGGCAGCAGUAGGGAAUUUUGCGCAAUGGGCGAAAGCCUGACGCAGCAACACCGCGUGAAUGUUGAGGCCUUCAGGGUGUGAAAAUUGGUCAAUAGCGACGAAUUUUGACUGUACCUAUAGAGGAAUCAAUGGCUAACUCCGAGCAAGAAGCCGCGGUAAUACGGCGGGUGCAAGCGUUGUCCGGAAUCUUUGGGCGUAAGGCGUUCGUAGGCGGCAAGGUAAGUCUGAGGUUAAAGCUCGGGGCUCAACCCCGGGUCGGCAUUGGAUACUAUCUAGCUAGAAUGUGGGAGAGGUAAAGGGAAUGACUGGUGUAGCGGUGAAAUGCGUAGAUAUCAGGAGGAACAUCGGUGGCGAAAGCGCUUUACUGGAGCAUUAUUGACGCUGAGGAACGAAAGCCAGGGGAGCAAAUGGGAUUAGAUACCCGGGUAGUC